AAGUCGUAACAAGGUCUCCGUUGGUGAACCAGCGGAGGGAUCAUUACCGAGUUUACAACUCCCAAACCCCUGUGAACAUACCUAUCGUUGCUUCGGCGGAUCCGCCCCGGCGCCCUCGGGCCCGGAUCCAGGCGCCCGCCGGAGACCACAAACUCUUGUAUUUCUUUAGUAUCUUCUGAGUAAACAAGCAAAUAAAUUAAAACUUUCAACAACGGAUCUCUUGGUUCUG
rnacentral:misc_RNA from 1 species